rnacentral:lncRNA from 1 species
GAAAUAACUAUGUUCUCCAGGGAAUAGCUGAAUGCCCCAGAUAAUUUCUCCAGUUUUGAUUUAGCAAAAGGGUGAGUUAGCUAUGCCAUACUUCCUUUCUGGUUAAUGCCCACUAGUUCCAAACUAAAUAACCAUUUAACAAAACCCCAGCAACGUUAAUAACCUAAGUUACUUCUGGAAGCAUCACUCUCAGUUCCUGGAUUCUGGCUUCCCUCUGAUAACUAAAGUUAAUGUUUCAUUGUUAUUGCUCCAUCCCCCUGCAGCUCUAAUUACCAACACAGUAGAUUAUGCUGUGGGUUGACUUCUUCAUUAAAAGUAAAUAAAAUGAAAAGAAAAGAGAGCAUAGAAAAAACUUACACUGUAUUACAAAUUUUAUACCAGAAGUCAGGAAAUGGAACAUUUAAGAUUCUCAAGGCACGUGACUGUUAAUUUAUCUGCCCUGCAUCUGUGUUAAAAGAUGUUUCAGAUCUAAUCCUGAAUCCAAAAUAAUCAUCCAUAAUAUGGGUGAGUUAGUGUUAGCAUAAUUUAUCUUUUGAUUUUUUCAUUUCGUGAAUAAUAUUUAUGAGUGACUAUUCUGUGUACUCCUAAACAUUUAUGAGAGCCCAUUAUAUGCCAAGCACUGCAUUUUAUAUCUUUAUGUAUCUAAAACUUUAAUUUUUGCAAAACUCCUGCAAGAUGUUGUAUUAUUAUCUCUGUUUUACAGUUGAAGAAACAGGCUCAGAGUGGCUCAGAGACUUGCCUGAGGCCACACAGCUCAUAGGCAAUGGAGCUGUUGGGAAUUCAAAUCUGCUUGGCUCUAACCCUCCCCACCGUGCAGCCUCUCUCUAAGACCUAACCACAGCAGGGAUGCUCUAACAGCAACACAACUCAAUGAAAACAUUGAAGAUCUUCUUUAACAUAGGCAGGUAGAAUGAAAGGUAUCCUUCAUGCUGUCCUGUGGUCAAAGCAGAGAACAAGCCUCAGGAAGCUUAACAGUUUCAAUGAGCAAAAGAAACUGGUUCCCAACAGCAAACAGUAUCACCACAACAAAUUAUAUAUUUGCUUUAAAAUCAUUUCCCAUUUCUAAUGUAACUAUUCUCUCAAAAGGUCACAGCCCUGUGUCAAAUGUCACCAGACAAUAUGAUUGUAACAAUGUCGCAGGCUUCAGGGAACUGUUUCAUAAGAAAUCUCCUAUGUGGUCGUGGAGCAAGGAACUUGUGGCUUCUUCUCCUCCUACCGUGUCUGCAUCGGUACCAGACAGAGUGUCACCUAUUGUGUCAUUUGAACUCCCUCAACAUCAUCUAUGGAUCCCUGGUGACACCGCUGUGAUGUGAGAUGAAGCGGGUUCAAGAGCAGAAGAAAAGACAGUAUUAUGAAGAGAAGUUACAGUGUCAAGAAGCUGACUCUAGAAUGUGAGGUGGAAAAUCAGGGACUUCAGAGUCAACAGGGCUGGGUUUAAACAUCAGCUUUACUGCUUACGAACAUUUGACCUUAAAUAACUUACUUAACCUCUAUGAGCCUUAGUUUCUGAAUCUAUGGAACAAGGACUAUAAUACAUGCCUCAUGAGACUAUCGAAAGGAUUAAAUGAGAUGAUACACCUGUAACGCUAACUGAAGCCACAAUCCAUGUCGUCCAGUUCCAGAGGAGGGCCAGAGACAAGGAAACAUGGAAAUCUGUAGCCUCAACGUCAUGGAAAAGCAAUUCCAAUUUUAUUCAAGUUUCUCAGCAUUAAAAAGAAUUCAAUCAUAAGCAUUGUAGUAUUUCUCAUAGCUGCUUGCUUCUUCUACUACUUCACCUGUAUCCCCAGUCUCUGGAGUUCCUCAUUCACCACAAUGCCAAAGAGCAUUCUCCACUCCUCCUCACCCUUCCUGUUGCUCCCACCCCAUCCCCCACCUAUCCAUUCCAUCUCUUUCCCAGUCCUUAUUAUAAAGGUGACUUAACCUCUUUCAAAAAGUCCUUUCUCUUCAACUCCAGUCUCUCUGGUUCUAUGUUUCUCUGGCCAUUCUGCAUCACAAGUAAAGAGAAACCAUUCUGAGGAAGACAGACCAGUGGAUUGUUCUGGGAGGUGAACACUGGCAGAGAAGGAAGUUUAAAUCAAACUGGAAAUCACAGGCUUUUUCCUUGUGGAUAUAGGAGGGUGAUGUGGCAGCGAAUCGA